rnacentral:ncRNA from 1 species
UAAAAAUUUGAUUCUAGUUUUUAAAUUUGAUUUAUAUUUUUAUUAUAUGUAAAUUUUUGUUUUAAAAUAAUUAUUUAAAUAAUAAUUAUUUAAUUUUUUAUAAAGCAAUAAUUAGAUUUAUACAAUAAAAGAAAUUUUGAUAUAGAAAUAAAUAAUAGUAUUGAUAAAAUUUGUGCCAGCAAUCGCGGUUAAACAGAUAAUACAAUUAAAUUUUAUUUAACAAUAAUAAAUAAGAAAUAAAUAUUAAUUUAAAAUUAAAUUUAAUAGGUGAAAUUAUAAAUUUUAAUAAAAUUAAUAAAUAGUUUAUGAAAUUAUGAAAUUUUAAAAUUAGACUAGGAUUAGAUACCCUAUUAUAAUAAAAGUAAAUUAAAAAUGUUAGGGGAGUAGUAGUUAUGUUCUUGAAAUUUAAAGGAUUUGGCGGUAUUUUAGUCUUUUCAGAGGAACCUGUUCUAUAAUUGAUAAUCCACGAUUAAUUGUACUUAAUUUAUUAGUUUAUAUAUCGUCGUAGGUUGAAUAUCUUAAAAGAGAGAUAAUAUUCAUGAUUUAUAAUUUAUUAAAAGAAAUCAGAUCAAGGUGUAGUUUAUAAUUAAGGAGAAAUGGGUUACAAUAAAAUUAUUUACAUGGAUAUAAUAAUUAAAAUUAUUAUUGAAAGUGGAUUUGAAAGUAAUAUAUUUAAUUUAAAAUAUAUGAUUUUAGCUCUAAAAUAUGUACAUAUCGCCCGUCGCUUUCAUUGAAAUAUAAAGUGAAAUAAGUCGUAACAUAGUGGGUGUACUGGAAAGUGUACCUAGGCUGUC